CCUACGGGGGGCUGCAGUGGGGAAUAUUGGACAAUGGGGGGAACCCUGAUCCAGCCAUGCCGCGUGUGUGAAGAAGGCCCUCGGGUUGUAAAGCACUUUCAGUGAGGAAGAACGCCUGGUGGUUAAUACCCAUCAGGAAAGACAUCACUCACAGAAGAAGCACCGGCUAACUCCGUGCCAGCAGCCGCGGUAAUACGGAGGGUGCGAGCGUUAAUCGGAAUUACUGGGCGUAAAGCGCGCGUAGGUGGCCUGAUAAGCCGGUUGUGAAAGCCCCGGGCUCAACCUGGGAACGGCAUCCGGAACUGUCAAGCUAGAGUGCAGGAGGGGAAGGUAGAAUUCCCGGUGUAGCGGUGAAAUGCGUAGAGAUCGGGAGGAAUACCAGUGGCGAAGGCGGCCUUCUGGACUGACACUGACACUGAGGUGCGAAAGCGUGGGUAGCAAACAGGAUUAGAUACCCGUGUAGUC
rnacentral:rRNA from 1 species